ACACAUGCAAGUCGAGGGGCAGCAUGGUCUUAGCUUGCUAAGGCCGAUGGCGACCGGCGCACGGGUGAGUAACACGUAUCCAACCUGCCGUCUACUCUUGGACAGCCUUCUGAAAGGAAGAUUAAUACAAGAUGGCAUCAUGAGUCCGCAUGUUCACAUGAUUAAAGGUAUUCCGGUAGACGAUGGGGAUGCGUUCCAUUAGAUAGUAGGCGGGGUAACGGCCCACCUAGUCUUCGAUGGAUAGGGGUUCUGAGAGGAAGGUCCCCCACAUUGGAACUGAGACACGGUCCAAACUCCUACGGGAGGCAGCAGUGAGGAAUAUUGGUCAAUGGGCGAGAGCCUGAACCAGCCAAGUAGCGUGAAGGAUGACUGCCCUAUGGGUUGUAAACUUCUUUUAUAAAGGGAUAAAGUCGGGUAUGGAUACCCGUUUGCAUGUACUUUAUGAAUAAGGAUCGGCUAACUCCGUGCCAGCAGCCGCGGUAAUACGGAGGAUCCGAGCGUUAUCCGGAUUUAUUGGGUUUAAAGGGAGCGUAGAUGGAUGUUUAAGUCAGUUGUGAAAGUUUGCGGCUCAACCGUAAAAUUGCAGUUGAUACUGGAUAUCUUGAGUGCAGUUGAGGCAGGCGGAAUUCGUGGUGUAGCGGUGAAAUGCUUAGAUAUCACGAAGAACUCCGAUUGCGAAGGCAGCCUGCUAAGCUGCAACUGACAUUGAGGCUCGAAAGUGUGGGUAUCAAACAGGAUUAGAUACCCUGGUAGUCCACACAGUAAACGAUGAAUACUCGCUGUUUGCGAUAUACAGUAAGC
rnacentral:rRNA from 1 species